GCUCAGAGAGCCCUCUGCAGAGACGUCAUGCAGGAGACGUGACCUUGCUGGGGGCCAAUGGCCUUCGAGGAGGUGGCUGUGUAUUUCACCGAAGAAGAGUUGGCUCUGCUGGACCCCGCUCAGAGAGCUGUCCACAGAGAUGUCAUGAAGGAGAACUAUGAGAACAUGACCUCGCUGGGUGCUGGGCUGGUGAGUGAGACCAUGGAGCAGAAUUCUCAGCAGGAAGAUGAUGAGGAAGUGGAACCACAUGGCACACUAUUGCAAAGAUGCAAAGGGAGUGUGUCCAGGAGUUGUGAUCAG